rnacentral:rRNA from 1 species
UGGGGAAUAUUGGGCAAUGGGCGAAAGCCUGACCCAGCAACGCCGCGUGAAGGAAGAAGGUUUUCGGAUUGUAAACUUCUGUCCUCAGGGAAGAAAAGAAUGACGGUACCUGAGGAGGAAGCCCCGGCUAACUACGUGCCAGCAGCCGCGGUAAUACGUAGGGGGCGAGCGUUGUCCGGAAUGACUGGGCGUAAAGGGCGCGUAGACGGCUGUCUAAGUCUGGAGUGAAAGUCCUGCUUUCAAGGUGGGAAUUGCUUUGGAGACUGGAUGGCUUGAGUGCGGAAGAGGUAAGUGGAAUUCCCAGUGUAGCGGUGAAAUGCGUAGAGAUUGGGAGGAACACCAGUGGCGAAGGCGACUUACUGGGCCGUAACUGACGUUGAAGCGCGAAAGCGUGGGGAGCGAACA